rnacentral:rRNA from 1 species
CUUGACCUCAAAUCGGGUGAGACUACCCGCUGAACUUAAGCAUAUCAAUAAGCGGAGGAAAAGAAACUA